CGUGUAGGCGGCUCAUCAAGUCUGGUGUGAAAUUGCAGGGCUUAACCCUGCGUAUGCGCUGGAAACUGGUGGGCUUGAGUUCUUGAGGGGAAGCUGGAAUUCCAGGUGUAGGGGUGAAAUCUGUAGAUAUCUGGAAGAACACCGGUGGCGAAGGCGAGCUUCUAUCAGAGGACUGACGCUGAGGCGCGAAAGCGUGGGGAGCAAACAGGAUUAGAUACCCUGGUAGUCCACGCUGUAAACGAUGUGCACUAGGCGUGGGGCCCGUACGGGUUCUGUGCCGUAGUUAACGUGAUAAGUGCACCGCCUGGGGAGUAUGCUCGCAAGGGUGAA
rnacentral:rRNA from 1 species